rnacentral:snoRNA from 1 species
AGUUGGCAGUGAUGAUACAAUCUUUCAGCAUAAAAUGCCAGUUCUGCUUCUGAGAAUUCAUGACAGAUAAAGCUGAUACGCAUCUGAGCCUGGU